AGGACCAUGGCCCCAUCUCUACCACCAAACCAGCUCUGUGGCAAUGACUACAACAAGAUACAAAGACAAAGCAUGAAACAACAUUUGCAAGAAACCUGAAUUCUAAUCAGCCUGAAGUGCAAUGAACAGCACUAUUCAGUACCCAACUACCACAGUGCACAUCCCAUUCAGCCAGAAGAUUUAACACGUCUCUCUAAGGCCCUCUCCUGGUUUCAGAGAAGGACAAGCUCUUCAGGGGACUGGCC